rnacentral:rRNA from 1 species
UACGUAGGGUGCGAGCGUUGUCCGGAAUUAUUGGGCGUAAAGAGCUCGUAGGCGGCUUGUCGCGUCGGAUGUGAAAGCCCGGGGCUUAACUCCGGGUCUGCAUUCGAUACGGGCAGGCUAGAGUUCGGUAGGGGAGAUCGGAAUUCCUGGUGUAGCGGUGAAAUGCGCAGAUAUCAGGAGGAACACCGGUGGCGAAGGCGGAUCUCUGGGUCGAUACUGACGCUGAGGAGCGAAAGCGUGGGGAGCGAACAGG